GGUUAUUGGCUGUAUAAAUGUAUAUAUUGUAUUUCCCUUCUGUGUCUUUUAGUUAUGUUGCAGCAGGUCUGGCGAUUGCAGCAGGUGUGUGUCACGCCCCUUACCGGCACCUGUAGUGCAGCCGCGUCAUGGGCUGCUAAUGCAGACCUGUUCAUAUAGUCCCGUGGUUGUUCAGUCUCUCUCUCUCCUCUGCCAAGUAUGUGCCAUGUGUUCGCUCUCCAGGUUGGCGUGUAUGCCGUGAUGGUGUGUGUGUGUCCCCUUCCGGUUAGCCACCGCUGCCGCCGCUAGCUUCUGACGGCUUCAUUAUUUAUUGGUGCAGGCUACAGCCCGCCAUGCAGCCUGCCUGGCGUUAGGUUGCUGUUGUUGCCCUGCCUUGCCUCUUGCCUUUAUCUCCACGUUUUGUUUCUUUUUGUUGCCUUGCUCAUAGUUGCUCUGCCCUCGUCAG